CCACAGGAGUGAUGGAGAAAAAAAAAGUUACUGAACAUAUCGGGGCGGCUAUCGGCACCUCUCUUACCAUCCUGCAUCGACUCACUCUAUGAACAAAGCCAAGAAUCCCUUUGCAGCUCUAAAGAUUUUGAGGCGGGAGAGGGCAAGUCGGUGCACACGGGAGGGGUGAGCGACGGUAAGGUGGUGGUCUGGCGGCGGAGGAGGCCAGCCGCCGGCCUCGCCCUGACCCGACCCUCGGAACCCACAAGAUUUACGACAUCGCGGACUUGGCAGGAGAGAGAGCGAGAAGCUAAAACUCUCCAGGAACCCUCCGUGUGGUCCUCGCAGUGACUCAGAAGUAGGCCACUCAGUGAUUUUUAAGUGUUUGGUGAAUCCACGAAAAAAGUCUCGUCUCGUCUUUGCUGGUGCACAACAACAACAGUGGACACUGAACGCUACCGGUGUCAGUCUGAGCAAAGACUUCCAUCGCCGCGCUGCGCCGGUGAAAAGCUGAAAAGUCUUAUUAUACUUUGUGUUCGCUUCGAGAUAGAAUUCUUGGCAUUCAGGUCUCAAAAAAGAAAAAUGAAAUAAAGAUGCCAGGUGUUUGUAAAUAAUCAGAUUUACGAGGCUAAGUGAAGUCUAGGCUGUGACAGCGUGCCCAGGAGAGGUGCCGCGGCUCCCGCCACCGCUCGCAAGCCCACGGAGUGUCGGAGGUCCGACAUCAUCUUUCUUUUGACGAUAUCGGCAGUGUUUUCUCGAGUGAUCUUAAGAAAACAGUAGCAGUAAUACUUAACACUUUCUCACUCCAAUGGAAGUGUUGCGUUCAAUUAAAACCAAUAAUAUUACGAAACCCUAGUACGAAAA